rnacentral:rRNA from 1 species
UGGCCCUACGGGAGGCAGCAGUGGGGAAUAUUGCACAAUGGGGGAAACCCUGAUGCAGCAACGCCGCGUGAGUGAGGAAGUAUGUCCGUAUGUAAAGCUCUCUCAGCAGGGAAUAGAAAAGAAGGUACCUGAAAAAGAAGCCCCGGCUAACUACGUGCCAGCAGCCGCGGGAAUACGUAGGGGGCAAGCGUUAUCCGGAUUUACUGGGUGUAAAGGGAGCGUAGACGGAAA